GCCUGUGUGGCUCAGUUGGUUGAGUGGCUGACUUUGACUCAGGUCAUGAUCUCACAGUUCGUGGGUUUGAGCCCUGCGUCGGGCU
rfam:Felis catus isolate Cinnamon breed Abyssinian chromosome C1, whole genome shotgun sequence.